CUUAAGUUUUUCUCUUUGCUAAUGGACCGAUUGUCGUGCCUUUCUCACCGCUCAAAUGCUUCGCUGUUUGACAUAAUCAGCACUUGGACCUCUUUGUGAGGUUGUUGACAGCCAAGUGAACGAGAUUUUGAGCUGAUGCAGGAAGAAUGAAACCAGAUAACAAUUCAAUUUUUAAAAAAAUUAGUCAAUUCUCAGAAUUGGCUGUAAUUAGUCAAGCUGUGAAUGCUGAUAAUGUGAUUUGUAAAACAGGAAGAAGGAAAUUUGAAUAUCAUAACAAGGAACAACAAAAUGUUGCUAGAAAGUAAUAAUUGAAGCGCACUGAAGGACUCGACCCCAAAAACGAAAACUUGAAACCCAAAUCCGAAUGCCAGAGACCAGAACCAGUAACCAGAAUCUCAACGAUUCAGGGUGUAAACUGCAAGAAGAAGCAAAAAAUAAACAAACAAAUGCCUCAUUACAUGCGAAAUUAAAUUUAAAUGUUUGCUUAAUGUGAUUCCAGAGAGUUUGGCCCAGGGCCACGGGGCGAUCAGGGUAAAAAAAAAAAAAAAACAGAGAGAAGGUAUGUAGCCCGGAAAAAUAGAAACCGAAAAUAAAGCAAAGCAAACAAACCCAAGCACAUAAAAUAUAAUUUCAUUUUGGAAGCCCUGGGCUAACCAGGGAGCAGCAUUC